GCCCUGGGGUAGUCGCUACCCCUGCGGAUCGGACGACGCCGGGCAGCUCCCCAGGAGCCUCUGAAGAUUAGGAUUCCGGCCUCCCAGCACCCUGCCCUGUCUUCUCUUCUGGGAACGGCCCGGAAUGGGGCUUCACCUCCAAGCUGCAGGGGCCAGGGGCCGGGAGGCUGCAUAGCUACGGGUUAGCAGAAGAACUGCAGUAACCGUCGGAGAGAAUAGAAGUUUGGCCGGGGAGGCACGGAUUGACUGCCGCCUCCACUCCUGCUUUUCGACCCGGACCCCCAGCUUCCCUGGUGCAGUGGUUCUUAACAGUUCAACAGUUCUAUUAAAAAAUUGUGAAAUGUUUA